rnacentral:lncRNA from 1 species
CAGGUAGGUGAGAGAAGGCCCCAUGGAGGAGGAGGGUGGGGAUCUCAGAGAAAGGCUCUGUGUGGGGAUGGGGUGGUGGCUAUGGAGGCUGAGGCAGAGGAGGGGGCUCCGGGUGGAGGCAGAGGCUGCUGGGCUGUUGGGCAGGUGGAAGCCCCAAGGGGGAUGGAGAGUUGGUCCAGGGGCAAGGAGGCUCCAGGGCACUUUGGGGAAGGCCACUCAGCUAGAUGUCCUCAUUUCUUCUGGUUGCUCCCAUCAGCACAGAAACCACCGCCCUUUCUGGGUGCAUUGGUGUUGUGGUCCUCAUCUUGCUCCUGGUGAUUCUGUUGUCCGUGACCUUGAGGAAAUGGAGGCACGAGAGUGAGUUGAACAGCUGGCCCCGGAAGUGGGAAUGACAAAAGGGGACAGUGGUGGAGGUGUCUUUCCUAGGGGUCAGUCUUAGGGGUGUCAGGGUGGGCAGGCUAUGGCAUCUCUUCUCUAGAGUUGCUGGGGACUCUGUAGAAAGCAGUGGGAUUUAUCCAUCCCACAAAUUCUUCACUCUGAAAGCCAGGUACAAGCCAUGUGCAUAAACAAUUAUGCCUUAUAUAUGUUAACUGAAAAUACUGAUGCCAAAUAAUAAUGAGAUGACUAAGUGUACUCAUUGCCCUGUGACUUCCUGGGAAUUUAACUCAGUCUGAGGCCCAAUGGGUUGAACAUGGUGAUCUUUGCAUUUCAAACUUGAGCCCUAAAUUCAGUAGUCAACACAGAUGGUCACUACCCCAACUCAGGCUGACUUUGAGUUUAUUACUUUUUCUAGGACUAUUUAAGAAACAACUGAGGUAUCAGACCAAUUUCUUCCACAAAUCCUCGGUAAGAAAAUGCUCAGUCUCUUGCUGUUUGCUAGAUAGGCCCCACACAGAGGGUGCGGGGUAGGGGUGGGGUGGGGGGAGGCAGGGAACGGAUCUGAAAGGAAUGUUCUUAAAAACAGAGAGAUCCCGACCUGCACAGCAGGGCCACGGGGGUUAUACUUGAUGUCCUGCAGGGACAGUCCCUCUUCUGUCCACUGCCCAGCCACCCACCUAUAACUGGGGUUCUGUCUCUAAAGGACAUUUCCUAUCAAGCUGAAGUCAUAUAUUCCAACGUGAUCAACCUGGCCCCCCGGAAAGAGGAUGACUUCGCUGUCUACGCCAACGUGCCCUGUUUCGAUCGCCCCAGGAGAACGUCACCAGACCAAGUGCAAUAUGCCUCCAUCAUAUUCCACUGAUCUGGGGGCCCAUGAGCUGCUCAGGGUGGGAUCCUGACCUGUGCCAGGCUGGAUCCUGACACAGUUGCCUUCAAUUUAUGCGUGCAUGUAUGUGCUUUUAAAAAAAAUGCAUAAAACAUUCUGUUGGAGAUAGAUGA